AGUGAACGCUGGCGGUAGGCCUAACACAUGCAAGUCGAACGGCAGCACAGUAAGAGCUUGCUCUUACGGGUGGCGAGUGGCGGACGGGUGAGGAAUACAUCGGAAUCUACUUUUUCGUGGGGGAUAACGUGGGGAAACUAACGCUAAUACCGCAUACGACCUACGGGUGAAAGCAGGGGAUCUUCGGACCUUGCGCGAUUGAAUGAGCCGAUGUCGGAUUAGCUAGUUGGCGGGGUAAAGGCCCACCAAGGCGACGAUCCGUAGCUGGUCUGAGAGGAUGAUCAGCCACACUGGAACUGAGACACGGUCCAGACUCCUACGGGAGGCAGCAGUGGGGAAUAUUGGACAAUGGGCGCAAGCCUGAUCCAGCCAUACCGCGUGGGUGAAGAAGGCCUUCGGGUUGUAAAGCCCUUUUGUUGGGAAAGAAAAGCAGCAGGUUAAUACCCCGCUGUUCUGACGGUACCCAAAGAAUAAGCACCGGCUAACUUCGUG
rnacentral:rRNA from 1 species